UACGUAGGGUGCGAGCGUUGUCCGGAAUUAUUGGGGCGUAAAGAGCUUGUAGGCGGUUUGUCGCGUCUGCUGUGAAAAUCCGGGGCUCAACCCCGGACUUGCAGUGGGUACGGGCAGACUGGAGUGUGGUAGGGGAGACUGGAAUUCCUGGUGUAGCGGUGGAAUGCGCAGAUAUCAGGAGGAACACCGAUGGCGAAGGCAGGUCUCUGGGCCGAUACUGACGCUGAGGAGCGAAAGCGUGGGGAGCAAACAGG
rnacentral:rRNA from 1 species